rnacentral:tRNA from 1 species
GUCCCGUUCGUCUAGAGGCCUAGGACGGCGCCCUCUCACGGCGCUAACACCGGUUCGAAUCCGGUACGGGAUGCCA